ACACACCUACACCUUGACAACAACCGUUUUUCCCUCAAAAAUAGAUCUGAGAGAGAGCCUACCCCAUCUUCUUCCUUAAACAACAAGAAAAAAACUAGGUCCAAAGAGAACCCGCAAAGGCAGCUGAAUCUCGUCUGCUUCUCCUCCUUCAACAGAGGCAGCUUCCUUUUUCAUCCUUAAAUCACGCCCGAAGCCACUCCAAAUCCAACCGAAAAAGAACUUUAAAAUAAUCCCAAAACCUCAGCCAAACACUACCCUUUUACACCUGAAACCAAGCUCGAAACUAGCUGAAAAAUUAGCCACAAAACCAGUCAAAAACUAGCUUUCAAGCCUUCAUAAACACAGCUGAUAAACACCAUGUAAAUCAGCCACAUAACAGCCUUAAAACUAGCUGCAAAUAGCCAUGAAAUCCCCUCAAAACCCAGCUGCAAACUCACUCCAUAAACCCCCCAAAUCCAGCUUCAUCUCCACCCCAAACCAAGCUGAAAACAGUCACAAAAUUAGCUCUAAAAAGCGACCAAAAUUUCACUAAAACAGUCAAAAAACAGCCACCAAACUGCUAAAAAAUAACUCCCAAAACCCAGCAAAAUCACCUCUAAAAAGCUCUUCAAACACUGUAAAAAACACACCAGUAGUUCUAGCAAAACGCAACAGCGGUUGGUUUCUCAAAUUCCAUUUUCAAAAUCAGUUUUGAAGUCAUUUGAACUUAGUCUAUCAAGGUCGUCGAGGUCCCCCGGUUUGAGGUUCUCGUUUGCUUGAAGAUUCGAUAAUACUUGCAAUUGUAAAGGUUCGAUCUUGUUACAGAUCUAUGUAUAUGCUUGAAUUCUUAAUUUGUUGUUUUGGUUAGAAUUGUUUUACAUCUUUUGAUUAGUUAUUUCCUUAUUACUUCUUUUUCGAUUUGUUUAGCGAGUUCUUUCAUGAGAUUUGCAUAUUGUCGGUUCCCUGUUACUCUUGAUUUGUGAACAAGGUUGCUUUAUUUGGUCAAUUGGAGUUCAUCCUUUGCUAUGUGGUCAUACAUGUUUUAUGGUGCUAUUUGGUUCAUUUUUAAUCGUUGGUAAUUAGUCUACAACAACUCAAGAGUAAUAUGAUUUGUAAAUGAACUCAUUUAUGUGCUUAAUUGUUCACUUUGUUCAUUUAUGCAAACUUAAUGAGUAUUCAAUUGUUGUAAUCUCAUAUUCAGUUAUGUUGAGUUUGGACGCUUGUGUUUGAGGCAUGGUACAUGGUGGCAGAUUACUCUCAUUUGGGGAAAGUUUGUAUGCGCAUGUGAGG
rnacentral:lncRNA from 1 species